rnacentral:pre_miRNA from 1 species
UUUUGAAUAUAAAUAUAUGCCAUGCAAUAUCUGGACAUACUUAUAUUAAAA